rnacentral:rRNA from 1 species
GAUGAACGCUGGCGGCGUGCCUAAUACAUGCAAGUCGAGCGAACAGACGGGGAGCUUGCUCCUUUGCCGUUAGCGGCGGACGGGUGAGUAACACGUGGAUAACCUACCUAUUAGACUGGGAUAAUUACGGGAAACAGGAUCCACUAACGGAGAAUAUAUCCAACGGCAGAGUUCAAUAGUGCUUGGCGGCUUUGCCGUCACUUUUAGCUGGAUCCGUGCCGGAUUAGCUACUUGGUAAGGUAACGGCUUACCAAGGCGACGUAGCGUAGCCGACCUGAGAGGAUGAUCGGCCACACUGGAACUGAGACACGGUCCAGACUCCUACGGGAGGCAGCAGUAGGGAAUCUUCCACAAUGGGCGCAAGCCUGACCCAGCCACACCGCGUGAGUGAUGAAGGCCUUCGGAUCGUAAAGCUCUUUUAUUGGGAAAGAACACCUGUGUAAGAAUCCAUGCACGUUCUGACGGUACCCAAACAAAAAGCAACGGCUAACUUCGUG